UGCCGGUGCCGGAAGACCGCCUCCCGCUCAAACGCGGGGGGAGGAAAGUCCGAACUGCAGAUCGGGCAAGCUAGAAUGUCCGAUGGAAGAGCAGGAUGGCCUGAGUCAAUCAGGCUGGUUCGUUCGCAAGAGCGGACUGAAGGAAAGUGCCACAGAAACUAAACCUGCCUGAAAGGGUAAGGGUGAAAAGGGCAAACCCCGUCCGCAGCAAGGUUAUGUAGAGGGAGACCUCGCCAUUCAACAGGCGGGAUAGACUGUGCUCGGUUAAAUCUCCCCGGGUCAACCGCAUCAGAGGAAUGGUCUUCAUGGAGUUGGGCGUUUUUUCAUAAAACGCCUGCUCCAACAGAAUUCGGCUUAUAGGCACCGGCUCCUU
rnacentral:RNase_P_RNA from 2 species